CAACAAAGAUUCCGACGGUUGUUCAACAACCACCUUAUUGAGUUUUUCGGCAUCAUCACUAUGUAUAGCUCUCUCUUCAAUGACCGAGGUAGGUUCUUCGGCCUCCUUCAAAUUGGAUGAAGCAAUAGCAACCUCUUCAAAGACCGAGGUAGGUUCCUCAGACUCUUUCAAAUUGGAUGAAGCAAUAGCACUCUCUUCGAUGACCGAGGUAGGUUCCUCAGCCUCCUUUAAAUUAGAUGAAGCAACACUAGUUAAAGCUUCAUUCUUUUCAUCCUCCACAAUCUCCUUCACCUCCUCCUGAAUGGACCUAUCCUCACCCCCUUGCAAUUCUAUCUUUUCAUCCUCCACAGUCUCCU
rnacentral:lncRNA from 1 species